GGAAGGAUCAUUAAUCAAUAAAAAAAGCUUUAUGCUUUUUUUGUUUUCUUUUUUUUAAAUUUCUAAUGUUGACAUUUCUUCUGUUGCUUCCGCUAGGAGAAGUGCUUCGUAAUGAGCUGUCUUCUAGCGGAAGGUUUUUAAAAACUCAUUUUUUUUGGUGUGUCCCAGUCUGAUGAUUAUCAUGAGACUUGUAAAACUUUCAACAACGGAUCUCUUGGCUCCUGCAUCGAUGAAGAACGCAGCGAAAUGCGAUAAUUAAUGUGAAUUGCAGAAUUCAGUGAAUCAUCGAGUUUUUGAACGCAUAUUGCGCCUUGUAGUAUUCUGCAGGGCAUGCCCGUCUCAGCAUCAUAAAACCUCAUCAGAUCAGGCUUUGUUUGAUGGCUUGGUUUGGAUCUUAUGAAGGAAGCAAUUGGUUUAAAACAGUUGCUCCUUGGAAAAACAUAGAUUGCUAAGAUAUUGAUCUGUGCUAAUGUAAUAAGAAUUAUAUAUCAUUGGCCAACAGCUCUAAGCAGUUUUAUGAGUGCUUUCUGCACCCAAGAAUAUUAGUAAAAAUUGAUCUGAGAUCGGGUAGGAAUACCCGCUGAACUUAAGCAUAUCAAUAAGCGGAGGAAAAGAAACCAACAGGGAUUGCCUCAGUAACGGCGAGUGAAGCGGCAAGAGCUCAGAUUUUAAAGCUGGUGUUGUUAAACAUCUGCAUUGUAAUCUGUAGAGGGGUGUUCAGGUAUGGCAUUGGUUUAAGUCCUUUGGAAUAGGGCAUCAUGGAGGGUGAGAAUCCCGUAAAUGGCCUUUGUCCUAUGCUUAUGUGAACCCCCUUCAAUGAGUCGAGUUGUUUGGGAAUGCAGCUCUAAAUGGGUGGUAUAUUUCAUCUAAAGCUAAAUAUUGGCAGGAGACCGAUAGCGCACAAGUAGAGUGAUCGAAAGAUGAAAAGAACUUUGGAAAGAGAGUUAAAUAGUACGUGAAAUUGUUGAAAGGGAAGCACUUGUGCCCAGACUCAUCUGUUGCUGAUCAGCCGUCAUUUUUUGAUGGUGCAUUCGGUGGCAGAUGGGCCAGCAACAGUCGGGGCGACAGGAAAAAGAUAUAAGAAAUGUAGCUCCUUUUUGGAGUGUUAUAGGCUUGUAUGGAAUACUGUCAGCUAUGACUGAGGACUGCGCUUUUAGCAAGGAUGCUGGCAUAAUGGGUAUAAGUGACCCGUCUUGAAACACGGACCAAGGAGUCUAACAGUUAUGCGAGUGUUUGAGUUGAAAACUCAUUCGCACAAUGAAAGUAAAUGGAGGUGGGAGCCGUAAGGUGCACCAUCGACCGAUCCUGAUGUCUUCGGAUGGAUUUGAGUAAGAGCAUAGCUGUUGGGACCCGAAAGAUGGUGAACUAUGCCUGAAUAGGGUGAAGCCAGAGGAAACUCUGGUGGAGGCUCGCAGCGGUUCUGACGUGCAAAUCGAUCGUCAAAUUUGGGUAUAGGGGCGAAAGACUAAUCGAACCAUCUAGUAGCUGGUUCCGGC
rnacentral:misc_RNA from 1 species